UAAUAAGUGUUUUAUGGCACUUUUUAAAUCCAUAUCCACCUUGUGUGCAAUGUCGGUCGAUCUUCUUCAUGGAGAUCGACCAUACAUCAACCUUUAUCAUUUAACUCUUUGUCUGAAAAAUAUUAUGAAUAAACAAUUCAAAAUA
rnacentral:misc_RNA from 1 species